UCUGCAAAUAUACUCAAAGGUCUUCACAGCCCCCCAUGGUGCUGAAUGCAUUUACAUUUAUUUUUGUAAGGUAAAAACAAUGCUGAUUACAGAUCAUAACUUGGGCCAUGAGUGAAAUUUGAGGUAGCAGCCAUCACCUGAUGGUGAGAGGUGGUCCUAAGAUCACAGAGAGAAGCAGGUUAAAAUCCCAUCCUUACCUCUCCCUACCUACAUCUCCAUCCACAGCUGAAGUGCACUUGAGCAAGGCACACAACUCCACUUUGCUCCUGGGACUGUAGCCAACACCCUGUAAAACCCUGCUGUGUAAUUUGAUGUAAUGAAGCCCUAAUAUAGUAUAACACAUUGCUUGUUUCAGAUAUGGAAAAUUGCACAAUAAAAGUUCCAGGACAUGAAGGCUGCAUACUGUGAACGUCAACCUUCAGGGCACCGUCCUGUGCAGAAGACUUUCUGCCCCAAGAGGGAUGGCUGACGGCAGACACUCACAACCAGCACAGACGCCUCCAACCUCAGACUAGGCCCUUCACAGUUGCUGCACUUACCCACCUUCCCCGAGUUUUUGUGUGGUAAUGACAACUGUAAAUAUAGUAUAAAGUAAUGUAUCUAGUGUCAUGUGUAAUACAUUGUUUAAAUUGUCCAUACAUUUCAAUGACAGUAAAUAUUGGUGGACACAA